UGGGCUCGCAGCUUCGGGCGGAUGCAGGCGCCACAGAAGGACAGGACAUCAUUCCUGCCUUAGGCCCAGGUGUGUCAAGAUCUCCAACAUAUUUCCUUCCUUUACAACCAAAUGACUGGUGAGAAUCAGAUCAUUAGAUCAUUGAAAUCAAAUGUGGGAAGUUUAAGACAUAUAGAAAACAUCAAAUGCAGACUGUCUGAAUAAAAGAGUAGAGUUACAUUUGCAAUCUUCCAGUCCUACAGGACCGUGCCAGAGUCAAGUGAUUCUUGGAAGAUCAUGACCAAUGCAUCCGUUACCUCUUCGGCAACCUCUCUCAGGACUCUGGGAUGUAGUUCAUCAGAUCCAGAUGUCAUACUGAGUCUCCGCAGACUCCUCAGGAAGUAGACGUGUUUCUGUGCUUUCUUGCACUUACGCUGGACCCAGGAUAGGUCUUCCGAAGUAACAACACCAAGGAAUUUAAAGUUGCUAAACCUCUCCACCUCUGAGGAAUGGACUCACGGACCUCUAGUUUCCUUCUCCUGAAAUCAACAAUCAGCUCCUUGGUCUUGCUGACUUUGAGUAAGAAUUUGUUGUUAUGGCAUCACUCAGCCAGUGGUGACAACAACUGGAAUGAUCAGUUGAGUUCAAAGUUCAAAAUAAAAUUGUUAUCAAAGCACAUACAGUACGAGAGUAUAUACUACCCUGAGAUUCAGUUUCUUACAGGCAUUCAACAGUAGAACAAAUAAAUACAACAGAAUCAAAUAAAACCUACACACAAAGACUGAUAGACAAGCAAUGUGCAAAUACAUAAAUAAAUAAUACUGAGAACACGAGGGUAGAGUCCUCGAAAGUGAGACAAUAGGUUGUGGAAUCAGUCCAGUGUUGAGCUGAGUGAAAUUAUCCACACUGGUUCGGGGGGCUGAUGGUUGUAGAUAAUAACACUCAGGUUGGAGGAGCAACAUCUUAUCUUCUGUCUGGGUAGCCUUCAGUCUGAUGGCAUGAACAUCGAUUUCUGGAACAUCAGGUAAUUCCCCACCCCCUCUCCUUCACCAUCCACCAUUCCCAUUUCCCUCUCUCACCUUAUCUCUUUUCACCUCCCUCUGGGGCUCCUUCCCCUUUGCUUUCUUCCAUGGCCUUCUGUCCUCUCCAAUCAGACUUCCCCAUCUCCAGCCCUGUAACUCUUUCACCAA